rnacentral:siRNA from 1 species
AAUAGACCCAUGCGUAGCGUGGAU